AUGGCGAGGGUCAGCCGGACGACGCCCAACGCGGCGGCGGCGUCGCGGACCAAGGAGGCGGCGGCGCCCAAGUCGCGGACCAAGAAGACGCCUGCCGCGCCCCGGUCGCGGACGAAGAAGACCCCCCCGGCCGCCACGCCGCCCUCUCCGGCGGCACCUGCGCCGGCGCCGGCGAAUCAGACGGCCCCUGCGCCGGCGACGGCACCUGCGCCGGACGUUGAGGUGAUCGAAAUCGGAGAUUUCCCCACCCCAUCCUUGAGCUCCGGGAAGAGGAGGGAUCGGGAGAGGGCAGGGGCGACCGCCUCCUCGCCGCUCGACGUCGACGAGAUCGAGAUGUGGACGCCGCGGCAGAAGCGCCGAUUCGACGAGGACUGCCUCAUCCUCUCCGCCGACCCCCUUGCCGCCAACAAAGCCCGACCCGUCGUCGUCCCCGCCGCCGCCGACGACGAAGACUUGGCGGUUCUCGCCGAGCGCGGCCCGGUGGCCUGCAGAGAUUUUCCGCACGCGAGGUAUCUCUGCGUCAAGUUCCCCUUCGCCACCACCCCUCACGAGAAGCACUGCGAGCAGUGCUACUGCUUUGUGUGCGACGUUGCUGCUCCGUGCGCAACUUGGAGAGGACAUGCCAUGUAUGGGCAUUGCCAUGCUUCAGACCAGGACAAGAUUUGGAAAACCAUGAGAGGAGCGAAGAAGGCGAACCCGUGCAAGACCUAUUGA
rnacentral:rRNA from 1 species